AUAUUCCCUGCCUCCCUCCAUCUCUCUUUCCUCCAACCCCAUUCCAUCUGCCUUUGUACCCCAGUACUGUUUGUCUCUGUACUCUAUGUGCCUUACUAAAGUGCAAUUGAAGCAUUACUCUCUGCUUGCUGCUAUCAUGGUCUUUCACAGAAGAAGAAGUCUCAGCAAAAACAAUAAUUUUUGAAAUUUCAAUUCUCCUAAUACUUUGGUACAUCAAUAGAGGGGACUAAUGUCACCUUGAAUAUCAAUGCCCAGGGGAACAGAUGGCCAUAGAGACUUCUUCAUGGAAAAUGACACCAACUAUCUACUCUCUGGAAAGAUUUACCAGAAUGGUAGCAAAACUACUAGAUUACUAGUCAUUAUCUAGGGAAAUGUGGAUUACAGCAGCUACAUUUGGCUGAGCUUCUGCCAUCUUUCUGCUGAGCUGCUUUCUGUCAGUAAGACUCGACACACUGUCAUAACAGCCUUCUUCAGGUGAAGACAAUCAAAAACUCUAAGACUUACAGAUGGUGUGAGGAUAGCACCUGGUGGACCUCUUUCCUGACAUAAUUGGAAGGAUUGCAAGAUCAAGGGAAAAGAAGACCCAUUAAAAGGCUUUGUGGCAAGUGGGAUGAUCUCUCAACACUGGAAAGGAUGCCUGUCCUCUAUUAGCAGAAUGGAGUAGAGGACCUCUAAGAUCCUUUCUAACACUAACUAUGCCUCCACA